AGCAGCCGCGGUAAUUCCAGCUCCAAUAGCGUAUAUUAAAGUUGUUGCAGUUAAAAAGCUCGUAGUUGAAUUUCGGGGCCAGUAGGUUGGUCGUGCCACUGGUAUGCACUGGCCUUACUGGUCCCUCCCUCUUGUAGAACCGUGAUGCCAUUAAUUUGGUGUUGCGGGGAAACAGGACUGUUACUUUGAAAAAUUAGAGUGCUUAAAGCAGGCUCGCGCUUGAAUACAUUAGCAUGGAAUAACGGAAUAGGACGAUCGGACCUAUUUUGUUGGUUUCUAGGAUCGACGUAAUGAUUAAUAGGGAUAGUUGGGGGCAUUAGUAUUCAAUUGUCAGAGGUGAAAUUCUUGGAUUUAUUGAAGACUAACUACUGCGAAAGCAUUUGCCAAGGAUGUUUUCAUUAAUCAAGAACGAAAGUUAGGGGAUCGAAGACGAUCAGAUACCGUCGUAGUCUUAACCAUAACUAUGCCGACUAGGGAUCGGAUGAAGUUAAUUUUUAAUGACUCAUUCGGCGCCUUACGG
rnacentral:rRNA from 1 species